UUCCCUACGGGGGGCAGCAGUGAGGAAUAUUGGUCAAUGGCCGGAAGGCUGAACCAGCCAAGCCGCGUGAAGGACGAAGGUGCCAAGCAUUGUAAACUUCUUUUGUCAAGGGACAAAAUCAGGCUCGAGAGCCUGACCGAGGGUACUUGAAGAAAAAGCAUCGGCUAACUCCGUGCCAGCAGCCGCGGUAAUACGGAGGAUGCGAGCGUUAUCCGGAUUUAUUGGGUUUAAAGGGUGCGUAGGCGGGAUAUCAAGUCAGCGGUAAAAUCGUGGAGCUCAACUCCAUCCAGCCGUUGAAACUGAUG
rnacentral:rRNA from 1 species